rnacentral:rRNA from 1 species
UACAGAGGGUGCGAGCGUUACUCGGAAUUACUGGGCGUAAAGCGCACGUAGGUGGCGACGUGAGUCGGGUGUGAAAGCCCCGGGCUCAACCUGGGAAUUGCAUUCGAGACUGCAUUGCUGGAGUACGGAAGAGGAAGGCGGAAUUCCCGGUGUAGCGGUGAAAUGCGUAGAUAUCGGGAGGAACAUCAGUGGCGAAGGCGGCCUUCUGGUCCAGUACUGACACUCAAGUGCGAAAGCGUGGGGAGCAAACAGG